AUUAGACUCCGUCCGUCCGAAAAUACUUGUCCUAAAAAUGUACAAAAUAGAUGUAUCUAUAACUAAAAUAAGUCUAGAUACAUUUAUUUCUAGGACAAGUAUUUUCAAACGAAGGGAGUAUCAU
rfam:Hordeum vulgare subsp. vulgare, WGS project CAJW01000000 data, contig: morex_contig_275003